GACGAACGCUGGCGGCGUGCUUAACACAUGCAAGUCGAACGAAGAGCGAUGGAAGCUUGCUUCUAUCAAUCUUAGUGGCGAACGGGUGAGUAACGCGUAAUCAACCUGCCCUUCAGAGGGGGACAACAGUUGGAAACGACUGCUAAUACCGCAUACGAUCUAACCUCGGCAUCGAGGAUAGAUGAAAGUUGGCCUCUAUUUAUAAGCUAUCACUGAAGGAGGGGAUUGCGUCUGAUUAGCUAGUUGGAGGGGUAACGGCCCACCAAGGCGAUGAUCAGUAGCCGGUCUGAGAGGAUGAACGGCCACAUUGGGACUGAGACACGGCCCAGACUCCUACGGGAGGCAGCAGUGGGGAAUCUUCCGCAAUGGACGAAAGUCUGACGGAGCAACGCCGCGUGAGUGAUGACGGCCUUCGGGUUGUAAAGCUCUGUUAAUCGGGACGAAAGGCCUUCUUGCGAAUAGUUAGAAGGAUUGACGGUACCGGAAUAGAAAGCCACGGCUAACUACGUGCCAGCAGCCGCGGUAAUACGUAGGUGGCAAGCGUUGUCCGGAAUUAUUGGGCGUAAAGCGCGCGCAGGCGGAUUGGUCAGUCUGUCUUAAAAGUUCGGGGCUUAACCCCGUGAUGGGAUGGAAACUGCCAAUCUAGAGUAUCGGAGAGGAAAGUGGAAUUCCUAGUGUAGCGGUGAAAUGCGUAGAUAUUAGGAAGAACACCAGUGGCGAAGGCGACUUUCUGGACGAAAACUGACGCUGAGGCGCGAAAGCCAGGGGAGCGAACGGGAUUAGAUACCCCGGUAGUCCUGGCCGU
rnacentral:rRNA from 1 species